GAAUUAUAUGUGUAUACUAUAAGUGACUGGUAUUGUGGGAGGUGUUGAGGCUAUGUUGGUUGACACCAUGAGUGGAAUUAUAUGUGUAUAAUGUAAGUGACUAGUAUUGUGGGAGGCGUUGAGGCUAUGUUGGUUGACAUCAUGAGUGGAAUUAUAUGUGUAUAAGUGACUGGUAUUGUGGGAGGCGUUGGGGAGGCUAUGUUGGUUGACACCAUGAGUGGAAUUAUAUGUGUAUAAUGUAAGUGACUGGUAUUGUGGGAGGCGUUGAGGCUAUGUUGGUUGACAUCAUGAGUGGAAUUAUAUGUGUAUAAUAUAAGUGACUGGUAUUGUGGGAGGCAUUUAGGCUAGGUUGAUUGACAUCAUAAGUGGAAUUAUAUAUUGUAUAAUAUAAGUGGCUGGUAUUGUGGGAGGCAUUUAGGCUAGGUUGGUUGACAUCAUGAGUGGAAUUAUAUGUG